UAAAUUUGGGGCAUGGAUCUUGCUGUUCUCGAUGUGAAAAGAUUUAGAAGGUUAUUUAUUUUACUGUUACAUAAGUAUUUAUAAUAGCUUUUUGGUAGUGAAACGUUAUUCGGUUUUCGGGGUAUCUAGUUAUUCAGGAAAUAAAUUUAAUUUUGCCAGCUUUAUAUUAAGACCAAUUUAUUGGUUUAGUUGUGUUGCUGAGUAAUACUUAAGGGGAUAAGCUUUUAAGUAGAAUUCUAUAAUUUUUUAUGUUUACAAUUAAUCGUAGGAUUAGAAGUUUCCAUCGAUAAUAUGGUGUUAUAACAGUUUUUUGUUUUAUUUGAUUUAAAUUAAAUUUAGGUUGUUUACUGAAUUAAUUUGUUUAAUUUUAGUUCUUUUGCAAUAAUGAUGGAAUUAGUAUAUUAUAAUGUAUAAUUAAUUGUAUGUGUUAGAUUAUUUUAAGGAACUCGGCAAAUAUUUUUUCGCCUGUUUAUUAAAAACAUGUCCUUUUGAUGAUGAUUUAAGGUCUGGCCUGCCCACUGAUGAAAUUUAAAGGCCGCGGUAUUUUGACCGUGCAAAGGUAGCAUAAUAAUUAGUUUUUUAAUUGGAAGCUGGAAUGAAUGGUCGGACGAGAAAAAUACUGUCUCAAAUUAAUUAGUAGAAUUUUAUCUUUGAGUUAAAAAGCUCAAAUGGUUUUAAAAGACGAGAAGACCCUAUAGAGUUUUAUAUUUGUUUGGUUAUUUAUGUUUUGGUAAUAUUAAUUAAAUUGUUAGGCAAGUAUUUUGUUGGGGCGACAGAAAAAUUGACUUAACUUUUUCUUUAUUAUUACAUUAAUUUAUGGUUAGUUGAUCCGUUUUUUACGAUUAUAAGAUUAAAUUACCUUAGGGAUAACAGCGUUAUUCCUUUUGAGAGUUCUUAUCGAAAAAGGAGUUUGCGACCUCGAUGUUGGAUUAAAAUUUACUGUUGGUGCAGUAGCUGAUAGGUUAGGUCUGUUCGACCUUUAAAAUUUU
rnacentral:rRNA from 1 species